rnacentral:rRNA from 1 species
GACGAACGCUGGCGGCGUGCUUAACACAUGCAAGUCGAACGAUGAAGCUAGAGCUUGCUCUGGUGAAUUAGUGGCGAACGGGUGAGUAACACGUGAGUAACCUGCCCCGAACUCUGGGAUAACUGCUGGAAACGGUAGCUAAUACUGGAUACGACCUACGAAGGCAUCUUCUGUAGGUGGAAAGAAUUUCGGUUCGGGAUGGACUCGCGGCCUAUCAGCUUGUUGGUGAGGUAAUGGCUCACCAAGGCGACGACGGGUAGCCGGCCUGCGAGGGUGAUAGACCACACUGGGACUGAGGGACGGCCCAGACUACUACGGGAGGCAGCAGUGGGGAAUAUUGCACAAUGGGCGCAAGCCUGAUGCAGCAACGCCGCGUGAGGGACGACGGCCUUCGGGUUGUAAACCUCUUUUAGUAGGGAAGAAGCGAAGGUGACGGUACCUGCAGAAAAAGCACCGGCUAACUACGUGCCAGCAGCCGCCGUAA